AUGGACAGGCGUUUUUCACAGAAACCCGGAAUUUCCGGCGGGAGCAAGCCCUUGGAAGCUCUGCCAAGUGUGGUCUUGGGCGGAAGUGUUCAUGAUGAGAUCCAACUAGUACAUUCUGGGGUUGAGAUGAAGAAGCCUAAGACAUCAGUGAAGGUGUCCUGCAAAGCUUCAACAUACACUUUGACCAGCAAGUAUAUGUAGUGGGUGAGACAGACUCCUGGACAAAAAUUUGAGUGGAUGGGCUGAAUUGACCCAGGAGAUGAUAAUACACACUACUCACAGAAAUUCCAGGACAGGGUCACCAUGAGCAGUUACACCUCCACAGACACAGCCUACAAGGAGCUGAGAAACCUCAGAUCUGAGGACACAGCCAUUUAUUACUGUGCAAAAGAUACAGUGUGA